rnacentral:misc_RNA from 1 species
AUUAACUCCUAAACAAGUAUAUGAGGAUCAAGUGAAAUUAAGAAGAUCAAUUGAGAAGGAAAACACUCGUGAGGCUGAGAGUAAAAGUGUAGAAAAAGGAGAGGCUGAGAGUUCUAGUUAGAAGAAGAGAGUGAUUGAGAGUAAAAAUAAAGAGAAAAAUAAAGAGAGGAGUGAAAAGUCAUUGAGUGAGACUGGAAAGAGAGUGAAUCCAGUGCAAAAGGAGAGUAAAGAGAGAAAAAUGAGCUUAUUUGCAAAAGAAAGAGACGUUAAAAGUGCAUUUUUUGCUAGAAAUCCAAUUAUUGUACUUAUGUACAAAGAGGCUUAUUUGAAUCGUGCUGACCUUAACAGUUUUUUGCCUAGUUUUGCUGUUUCUCUUUUACAAGAGUUUGAAGAUGUCUUUCCUGAGGAUAUGCCUAAUGAGUUGCCACCCAUUAGAGGGAUCAAACAUUAGAUUGAUUUUGUUCC